rnacentral:rRNA from 1 species
CUACGGGCUGCAGCAGUGGGGAAUCUUGCACAAUGGAGGAAACUCUGAUGCAGCGAUGCCGCGUGAGUGAAGAAGGCCCUUGGGUUGUAAAGCUCUUUUGUCGGGAAAGAUAAUGACUGUACCCGAAGAAUAAGGUCCGGCUAACUUCGUGCCAGCAGCCGCGGUAAUACGAAGGGACCUAGCGUAAUUCGGAAUUACUGGGCGUAAAGCGCGCGUAGGCGGUUAAGUAAGUUAAUUGUGAAAGCCCAAAGCUCAACUUUGGAAUUGCAAUUAAAACUACUUAGCUAGAGUUUAUCAGAGGAAAGCGGAAUACAUAGUGUAGAGGUGAAAUUCGUAGAUAUUAUGUAGAACACCAGUUGCGAAGGCGGCUUUCUGGGAUAACACUGACGCUGAGGUGCGAAAGUAUGGGUAGCGAAGAGGAUUAGAUACCCGGGUAGUC